rnacentral:rRNA from 1 species
UACGUAGGGGCCGAGCGUUGUCCGGAGUUAUUGGGCGUAAAGCGCGCGCAGGCGGCCUCGCGCGCCCGACGUGAAAGCCCCCGGCUUAACCGGGGAGGGUCGUUGGGGACGGCGGGGCUUGAGGGCGGGAGAGGGUGGUGGAAUUCCCGGUGUAGUGGUGAAAUGCGUAGAUAUCUGGAGGAACACCGGUGGCGAAGGCGGCAUUCUGGACCGAAACUGACACUGAGGCGCGAAAGCCAGGGGAGGCAAAACGGG